UGGGGAAUUUUGGACAAUGGGCGAAAGCCUGAUCCAGCAAUGCCGCGUGUGUGAAGAAGGCCUUCGGGUUGUAAAGCACUUUUGUCCGGAAAGAAAUCCUUGGCUCUAAUACAGUCGGGGGAUGACGGUACCGGAAGAAUAAGCACCGGCUAACUACGUGCCAGCAGCCGCGGUAAUACGUAGGGUGCAAGCGUUAAUCGGAAUUACUGGGCGUAAAGCGCGCGCAGGCGGUUUUGCUAAGACCGAUGUGAAAUCCCCGGGCUCAACCUGGGAACUGCAUUGGUGACUGGCAGGCUAGAGUAUGGCAGAGGGGGGUAGAAUUCCACGUGUAGCAGUGAAAUGCGUAGAGAUGUGGAGGAAUACCGAUGGCGAAGGCAGCCCCCUGGGCCAAUACUGACGCUCAUGCACGAAAGCGUGGGGAGCAAACAGGAUUAGAUACCCUGGUAGUCCACGCCCUAAACGAUGUCAACUAGUUGUUGGGGAUUCAUUUCCUUAGUAACGUAGCUAACGCGUGAAGUUGACCGCCUGGGGAGUACGGUCGCAAGAUUAAAACUUAAAGGAAUUGACGGGGUCAUAGCUGUUUCCU
rnacentral:rRNA from 1 species